CCUACGGGUGGCAGCAGUGAGGAAUAUUGGUCAAUGGGCGUAAGCCUGAACCAGCCAAGUCGCGUGAGGGAUGAAGGUUCUAUGGAUCGUAAACCUCUUUUACAAGGGAAUAAAGUGUGGGACGUGUCCUGUUUUGUAUGUACCUUAUGAAUAAGGAUCGGCUAACUCCUUGCCAGCAGCCGCGGUAAUACGGAGGAUCCGAGCGUUAUCCGGAUUUAUUGGGUUUAAAGGGUGCGUAGGCGGCCGUUUAAGUCGGCGGGGAAAGUCUGUGGCUCAACCAUGGAAUUGCCGUUGAAACUGGGAGGCUAGAGUGUGUGUGAGGUAGGCGGAAUGCGUGGUGUAGCGGUGAAAUGCAUAGAUAUCACGAAGAACUCUGAUUGCGAAGGCAGCUUA
rnacentral:rRNA from 1 species